UCCACCCAGGUGAUGGGGAGCAUAACCCUCCCCCUCCCCCCGGCUUGUUAGAUAUAGCUUUGCCAUUAUUUUAUAGUUAGAUAAGCUUUGUAAUUGUUUUUACAGGCCCUAUGUUCGGACCUCAGGCUCUAACAGACCAG